rnacentral:tRNA from 1 species
GCCCGGCUGGCUCAGUUGGUGGAGUGCAAGACUCUUGAUCUGGGGUCGUGAGUUCGAGCCCCAUGUUGGGGG